GAUAAAGUGCAGGAAUGGAAGAUGUCACGCGACUCACCUAAUAAGGGAUGUUUGGACCGUUACACAGCCAACAGAAGCAUGUGGACAGACAUUGACUGUGAUGAUGGACAUCUGCUGAUGCACAGGCAAGAAGUAUCACCCCUGCUGGACAUUGUUCUGGAACUCAGGGAGGGACACCAUGAUCCCCCACACCUUCUCACUCACACCAGACCAUUCACUCAUAUCGCGGAGAUCUGGCUGGACUUGAACCAGCAACCUCUGAAACCAUGAGGCAGCACUCUUACCACUGAGCCACAGAUCUCUUGUCUGAACAUGUGCAGGAACUUAUAUUUCACUAUUCUCUCUGUCAUUUUACAAUAAACCAGUUAAAUUUCAAACCCAUUGAGCGGGGGUUUGAACCCAUGGCACCACCACAGUUCUGAUUGUAUGUAACAUGUGUUUAGCCAUUAGUGCCACACUGGCUUUCACAUUGAAAGCUUGCGUUUGCACCACUUUGUUGGAUAUAAUGCAAUACAUGAGCUUUAAUGUAAGCAAUAGUGGGGCUUGAACUCAGGACUCCACGAUCCCAACACAACACGCUGCAUCCUGAGCCACUGGAACAAGUGAGUUACAGGUUGUUUUGGACGGGUUUUAUUGAGAGG
rnacentral:lncRNA from 1 species